ACUAAAGCGUUUGCGGAGACUUCAAGAAAAGAAAAAGAAAAAAAUGUCAUUAGAAGAGGCGUAACACGUCAGUCCGUCCCCAGGUUUGUGUUUCCUGGAGUGGCCGAAAAGAGAUCAGUUCUAACCUGCUCGGCAGGAAUAACGGUCCUGCCUCCCGACACUCUUGGCGAGGUUUUGUUCAGUUUGCUCCGGGAGCUGUUUCUUCGCCUCCACCUUUUUCUCCCCCACACUUCGCGGCUUCUUCAUGCUUUUUCUUCUCACCAUUUCUGGCCAAAACUACAAACAAGACUUCGCAGAUCGAGCCUGCGUGCUGCCGAAGCAGGGCGCCGAGUCCAUGCGAACUGCCAUCUGAUCCGCUCUUAUCAAUGAAGCAGCCGAUCAUGGCGGAUGGCCCCCGGUGCAAGAGGCGCAAACAAGCCAAUCCCAGGAGGAAAAACGGCUGUCUGUGCGGCAGGUACCAACUCUGAGGGUACUCCAGAGAGAUCCAUCUCCGUCCUGUUCUCUCCGUGGAGAUACUGCACACACAAGGCUGGGGGCUAUGUAUCUAGACUGAUCUAUUUGUUUUAUUUUGGUUUGGGGAAAAAAAAAAAGAAAAACUAUGCCAAUUGGGGUAGACACGUGCUUUGCUUCCCAGCAGAGCCAGCAGCUAGCCCGGUGGCAUCCAUGCUGUGGCGGUCCACCAGGGGUAGGGGUAGGCUUCAGGUUUUAAACUUUGUAAUGUUGCUCUGUUGUCAAGUAAAAAAUGAUUUCAC
rnacentral:lncRNA from 1 species